rnacentral:lncRNA from 1 species
UCUCUGCCUAAAAUUCUUCAAAGAGGAGAAGAGGAAAAGAGUUGCUACCCUGCAUCAGGUCAUGCUCUACAAGAUGGGCCACCAUAACUGAGUGACACCUGGCCAUAUUUCUUCUUAAGGAAAAUAAAAAUCCAUUGUUAAAAUCACCGUUGCUCUAGAUGCCUACUGCUAAUGUGCUUCUGGAGGAACAGUUUUCAAAUGAGAAGUAACAGGAGCCGCUCUGAUUGAAACAAACUGGUGUUGAUUGCAGAUCAGCCAUCUGUAAAGGAGGCCACCUCGGGAAGGGUGUGAACUAAUGAAAAGAUGGGCCUGAUUUGGGAGCGUGAUGGGCUUUGUGCCACCGGCCUCUGUGAGUGGCAUGAGAUUAUAGCAGUGCGAGGAGAGGUAGAUUGAGAAUAAGUAACUUGUGUCUUAAAGAUUAAAUGGCAAAUUUGCUAUUAAAUGUGAAAGACAUAAAAUGGAAUUAUUGCUUUGAGGACGUUAGCUGUGGCCAUACCCACUCGCAGAGAGCGUGACGACCUGUCCUCCUGUCAACAACGCACCCAUCCCAGCAUGCCGAUUACAGGCCUGGAGAACAGAGUGGUGAACCCUGGGAGUGGCCCACACAGCACCUUCUUCGCAAGGCACUUCCUAUGGCCUCCCUUCCUCCAGUGACCUUCCAGACUGGUGAAUGUUAUUGAUGAAGUCAUUACGUAGCCCAGAAAGCCAGUCGAUAAUUCCCAGGGAUGUUGGUGAUCAGAGGGUGGCCUGGGAGAGGACAAUGAGAGGCUUCCACUGACUGCUGACCUGGAGAAGUGGUCCUGGAGUUCCAGGAGCCCAGGCUUGUGUGAUUAUAACAAAGGCAGAACCAGAGGUGAAUUUUAACAAUGCACCCAAUUGCCAGGGCAUUUGGAGUCAGUGAAGCAGGAUCCCAGAAACUGACCGGCACAGUGGAAGGCGUUCACGCUGCACCUCAGUGCCUGGGAGUAGGCACCCCACAAAUACUCCUUGAAAAAAUAAAACUUCGAUAUGUGGUCAAAUGUAGGGUCUGUAUUGCCCUGCCUGGCUCUAGAUACAACUUCUUCUUCUUACGUAGUCUG